GACGAGGGACCUAGCGUUGUUCGGAAUUAUUGGGCGUAAAGCGGAUGUAGGUGGCUUUGUAAGUCAGAUGUGAAAGCCCAGGGCUCAACCCUGGAAGUGCAUUUGAUACUGCGAAGCUUGAAUGUUGGAGAGGCUAUUAGAAUACCUGGUGUAGUGGUGAAAUACGUAGAUAUCAGGUGGAAUACCGGAGGCGAAGGCGGAUAGCUGGCCAAACAUUUGACACUCAGAUCCGAAAGUGUGGGGAUCAAACAGG
rnacentral:rRNA from 1 species